rnacentral:rRNA from 1 species
GUAAAGAACUUGCCUCACAGUUAGGGACAACAUUUGGAAACGAAUGCUAAUACCUGAUAUUAUGAUAAUAGGGCAUCCCAUAAUUAUGAAAGCUAUAAGCGCUGUGAGAGAGCUUUGCGUCCCAUUAGCUAGUUGGAGAGGUAACGGCUCACCAAGGCGAUGAUGGGUAGCCGGCCUGAGAGGGUGAUCGGCCACAAGGGGACUGAGACACGGCCCUU